GCCCCUAUAGCUCAGUUGGUAGAGCACCUCACUUGUAAUGAGGAUGUCGUUGGUUCGAUUCCGACUGGGGGCUCCA
rnacentral:tRNA from 2 species